GGGGCCAGCACACACCUCAUCUUACCUUCCUCAGGGCAGUGUCAGAUUCCCUGAGGUCUCAUGGCUCCUACUAAUAGAAGGGUCACUGGCUUCUGAUUCUUUGGGGUUGAGGAGGUGUUGUCAGUAUUUUAGACCUCCAAGUAUAAGAGAAGGAGCCUUGAGAGCCAAUUAAAUUAGAUUAGAGUCCACCUGGGGUCGCAGAGUACAGCUGUAUAAGGCACUUCCCGAGAAGCUUGACUUAGGAAGGGGUUGGAUUUGAGACACUCCCUAGGCAAGACUGACCUCUGCUCUCACUAAAAAUGUAGCUCAGUAGCAGGCCCCAGGCCCCCUACAGUGCUUCCCCUCUGGAGUCCUGGAACUCUCAAGAGCAGGUAUUUCUGAGCAGAUCAGCCUUGGCUGGAGGGUCCACGAAGAGGAGGCUUGGAGGUCCUCCUGAGAAGAGAUGGCUCACAUGUUGGGGUAUGCCAGCUCUGGAAUGUGCUCUGAGAUCGUCACACAUGAAAGAGGUCGGAAGGGUGAUUCCAUGCCUAGAACUCAUUCCUGUACCACUUCCAUCCGUUUGCAUGCUGAUGUCCACCUUCAGAUUGGCCGUCCACCCUUCUUCGCUCUGCUCUUUGCCUCCCUACAUGGAAUAUAUUGCAGGCUCCCAUUGUCCUCUACCUUUAAGUUGAGUUUGGUCAAUGGGAGCCCCAGCAGGAGGUUUGAAAGUUUAUCCAGGAAUUUAUUCUUCUAGCUUCCUUCCUUAAGAGUGCUACUCCUUGACUUGUUCCUCUCUAGAAGCCCUGCACUGUCUCUUGUUGAUUUCCCUAAACUCUACAUGCUCCUUUGUACAUAAUCUUUUUAUUAAACUCACUUUAAUUACCCAG